CCUACGGGAGGCAGCAGUGGGGGAUAUUGGACAAUGGGGGAAACCCUGAUCCAGCGACGCCGCGUGAGUGAAGAAGUAUUUCGGUAUGUAAAGCUCUAUCAGCAGGGAAGAAAGAAAUGACGGUACCUGAGUAAGAAGCCCCGGCUAACUACGUGCCAGCAGCCGCGGUAAUACGUAGGGGGCAAGCGUUAUCCGGAAUUACUGGGUGUAAAGGGAGCGUAGACGGUAAUGCAAGUCUGGAGUGAAAGGCGGGGGCUCAACCCCCGGACUGCUCUGGAAACUGUGUAACUGAAGUGCAGGAGAGGCAGGCGGAAUUCCUAGUGUAGCGGUGAAAUGCGUAGAUAUUAGGAGGAACACCAGUGGCGAAGGCGGCCUGCUGGACUGUAACUGACGUUGAGGCUCGAAAGCGUGGGGAGCAAACAGGAUUAGAUACCCUGGUAGUC
rnacentral:rRNA from 1 species